rnacentral:rRNA from 1 species
AGCAGCCGCGGUAAUUCCAGCUCCAAUAGCGUAUAUUAAAGUUGUUGCAGUUAAAAAGCUCGUAGUUGAAUUUCGGGGUCAUCAAGUUGGUCGUGCCACUGGUAUGCACUGGCUUUGCUGAUUCCUCCUUCUUAAAGAACUGUAAUGCUAUUAAUUUAGUGUUGCAGGGAAACAGGACUGUUACUUUGAAAAAUUAGAGUGUUUAAAGCAGGCUAACGCUUGAAUACAUUAGCAUGGAAUAAUGAAAUAGGACGUUUGAUCCUAUUUUGUUGGUUUCUAGGAUUGACGUAAUGAUUAAUAGGGAUAGUUGGGGGCAUUAGUAUUCAAUUGUCAGAGGUGAAAUUCUUGGAUUUAUUGAAGACUAACUACUGCGAAAGCAUUUGCCAAGGAUGUUUUCAUUAAUCAAGAACGAAAGUUAGGGGAUCGAAGACGAUCAGAUACCGUCGUAGUCUUAACCAUAAACUAUGCCGACUAGGGAUCGGAUGAUGUUAAUUUUUAAUGUACUCAUUCGGCGCCUUAA